rnacentral:rRNA from 1 species
UCCUUUGUUGCCAGCGGUCCGGCCGGGAACUCAAAGGAGACUGCCAGUGAUAAACUGGAGGAAGGUGGGGAUGACGUCAAGUCAUCAUGGCCCUUACGACCAGGGCUACACACGUGCUACAAUGGCAUAUACAAAGAGAAGCGACCUCGCGAGAGCAAGCGGACCUCAUAAAGUAUGUCGUAGUCCGGAUUGGAGUCUGCAACUCGACUCCAUGAAGUCGGAAUCGCUAGUAAUCGUAGAUCAGAAUGCUACGGUGAAUACGUUCCCGGGCCUUGUACACACCGCCCGUCACACCAUGUGAGUGGGUUGCAAAAG